rnacentral:rRNA from 1 species
UACGAAGGGGGCUAGCGUUACUCGGAAUUACUGGGCGUAAAGCGUGCGUAGGCGGUCUGUUGUGUCGGAUGUGAAAGCCCUGGGCUCAACCUGGGAAUGGCAUUCGAAACUGGCAGGCUAGAGUUCGGUAGAGGGUCGCGGAAUUCCCGGUGUAGCGGUGAAAUGCGUAGAGAUCGGGAGGAACAUCAGUGGCGAAGGCGGCGACCUGGACCAGAACUGACGCUGAGGCACGAAAGCGUGGGGAGCAAACAGG